CACUAAUAACAUCAACCCAUUUUUUGGUGGUGAGUGUUGAUCAAUAGUGAUAAGAUUACGAUCAAUUUUCAAUAUAUUAGUUCCGUAUCUUAAAAAUCGCCCAACACAAGCAGUCCUUUUUUCACUCUCAAGAAUCAUGUCCCUUUUAUUUUCUUUAUUGUAUUAACUUUUGUGGGAAUAUCAAGGCUAAUUACUUUAUAUAAUCUACUCAUAAUGGCUAUUGAGAAAUAUCUACUUAACAUUUGGCUUUUCAUGAUAAACAUGCUAUUUGGAAUGCAUAUACAAUCUUUUGGGAGAGAUGGAUGUUUGGUGAUAAAUUUUACAGCAUUGAACAUUGGGAAGAAGUUUUAAAAAGAAGAAAAAAGUUGAACCGAUGCUUGUCUAGUAAACCCUUAAGGUUAUUAGUAGUUGGUGUUCAAAUUGUCUUAUUUUCUUUGCUUUUUUUCAACUUUUUCUUUGUAUGUAUGUUCUGAUUUAUGUUUUAUGAAGUGGUAUAAAUUUAUAUUUUUCCUCAGUUCAUAAAUUUCCAAAUUAUGCUCCUGCU